rnacentral:SRP_RNA from 1 species
GAAAGGUCUUGAGGCAAUGUCCGGCCUACGAAUCGUGUCAGAUCCGGAAGGAAGCAGCACUAAGUUCGUUUGGACAUGUGCCUUAAGUUUUUAUGAU